GCCCUUCCCCCGGCUUCCCCACGCUUCCUCCCAGGCUCUGCCCAGGUGCCUGCAAACCCACGUGCGGGCUCCCCUGGUCCACAGCGCCGCUCCUAGCAACCGCCCCCCUCUCUCCCUGCCAGAUCCGGAAAUGUGUGGUCUCGGCUGGUUUCCUCCUGAAUCCUUGAAGCGCCCACUCAGCCUCUGCCUGAUGCUUCGGCUCCCAUGCAGUUUGCUGAAGUCACCCUGCUGAAGGGCGUCAGAGCUGGAGGACAGGUGGCCCCGGACCUCCCACUCCCGCCCUGCAGAGCCGCCUGAUGCUUCGACAGCCGCCUCUUCCAGAACCAGUGGACACGCUCGCUCCGUUGGUUUCCAUGACACUGCACUUUCCCACGUCUCCUCCGGAUUUCUGACAGCUUGUUUCCUUGCUGGCCUGCGUGGUCUCCUCCCGGCUUCUCGUUGUGGGCGUGUCCAGGGCGCUGCCCUCGGCUCUUACCCCAACCGGUGCCCACCGCCCCCUCUAGAGGGCUCUCCUCCCGGUAGCCUGAUGCCACCUCCCACCACUGUGGCCCCUGGGGCCUUGGCUACCCACGGUCCCCAAUCCCACACGGCCAGCAUUCACAGAACUUCUUGUCCUACCUCCUAUGAAUCAAGUCCUAAAUCACAGACCCUGAAGAAGUGGUACGCUGCACUUGGAAGAGGAGGCAUCCUUUCCCCAGACACCCCAGGGGCUAGAAAUCCCCCAGGCCCGACGCCCUCCGGAGGCGCUGACGUCAGCCCGAGCGGCGGCCGCGGAGCGUUUCUGUUAAGAAAUUCAAUGCUGGACUUUGCUGGUGGUACGGUGGAUAAGAAUCCAUCUCCCAAUGCAGGGGCCAUGGCUUCAGUCCCUGGUCCAGGAAGAUCCCACAUACCGCGGAACAACUAAGUCCAUGCCCAGCUACUGAGCCCGAGGUCUAGAGCUUGUGAACCACAACUGCUGAAGCCUGUGUGCCUGGAGCCUGUACUCUGCAGCAAGAGAAGCU
ensembl:lncRNA